CUGCUGCGCCUACUGGUGUGAUAAUAUCUACGCCUUGCGAGGACAAAUGCCUGACAGCGGCUCACACCGUCUUUGGACAACUUUCAUUAACGCUCUGGCCUCAAAUCAGGCAGGACUACCCGCUGAACUUAAGCAUAUCAAUAAGCGGAGGAAAAGAAACUAACAAGGAUUCCCCUAGUAACGGCGAGUGAAGCGGGAAGAGCUCAAAUUUGAAAUCUGGCGGUCUACGGCCGUCCGAGUUGUAGCCUAGAGAGGUGUUUUCCGUGUCGGACCGUGUACAAGUCCCUUGGGAUAGGGCGUCAUAGAGGGUGAGAAUCCCGUUCAUGACACGGACUGCCGAUGCUUUGUGAUGCGCCUUCAAAGAGUCGAGUUGUUUGGGAAUGCAGCUCAAAACGGGUGGUAAAUUCCAUCUAAAGCUAAAUACAGGCGAGAGACCGAUAGCGAACAAGUACCGUGAGGGAAAGAUGAAAAGCACUUUGGAAAGAGAGUUAAAAAGUACGUGAAAUUGUUGAAAGGGAAACGCUUGGAGUCAGUCGCGUCGACAGAGACUCAGCCUUGCUUUUGCUUGGUGCACUUCUCGGUUGAUGGGCCAGCAUCAAUUUUGACCGCCGGAGAAGGGCUGGGGGAAGGUGGCACCUUUCGGUGUGUUAUAGCCCCCUGUCGUACACGGUGGUCGGGAUUGAGGUUCGCAGCACGCCUUUAUGGUCGGGGUUCGCCCACGCCACGUGCUUAGGAUGCUGGCGUAAUGGCUUUAAACGACC
rnacentral:rRNA from 1 species